rnacentral:rRNA from 1 species
AUUGAACGCUGGCGGCAUGCCUUACACAUGCAAGUCGAACGGUAACGGGCCUUCGGGCGCCGACGAGUGGCGAACGGUUGAGUAAUGUAUCGGAACGUACCUUUCAGUGGGGGAUAACGUAGCGAAAGUUACGCUAAUACCGCAUAUUCUGUGAGCACGAAAGCAGGGGAUCGCAAGACCUUGCGCUGAUUGAGCGGCCGAUAUCAGAUUAGCUAGUUGGUGAGGUAAAGGCUCACCAAGGCGGCGAUCUGUAGCGGGUCUGAGAGGAUGAUCCGCCACACGGGAACUGAGACACAGGCCAGACUCCGACGGGAGGCAGCAGUGGGGAAGUUUGGACAAGGGGGGCAAACCUGAUCCAGCCAUGCCGCGUGAGUGAAGAAGGCCUUCGGGUUGUAAAGCUCUUUCGGCCGGGAAGAAAUCGUAUCAGCUAAUACCUGGUGCGGAUGACGGUACCGGCAUAAGAAGCACCGGCUAACUACGUGCCAGCCGCCGCAGUAAGAC